UGGGGAAUUUUGGACAAUGGGCGAAAGCCUGAUCCAGCCAUGCCGCGUGAGUGAAGAAGGCCUUCGGGUUGUAAAGCUCUUUCAGGUGGAAAGAAAUCACUACCCCGAAUACGGGUGGUGGAUGACGGUACCAUCAGAAGAAGCACCGGCUAACUACGUGCCAGCAGCCGCGGUAAUACGUAGGGUGCGAGCGUUAAUCGGAAUUACUGGGCGUAAAGCGUGCGCAGGCGGUUGUGUAAGACAGGUGUGAAAUCCCCGGGCUUAACCUGGGAACUGCGCUUGUGACUGCACAGCUAGAGUACGGCAGAGGGGGGUGGAAUUCCACGUGUAGCAGUGAAAUGCGUAGAGAUGUGGAGGAACACCGAUGGCGAAGGCAGCCCCCUGGGCCUGUACUGACGCUCAUGCACGAAAGCGUGGGGAGCAAACAGG
rnacentral:rRNA from 1 species